rnacentral:rRNA from 1 species
UACGUAGGGGGCAAGCGUUGUCCGGAUUUAUUGGGCGUAAAGAGCGUGUAGGCGGCCUGACAGGUCUGCUGUGAAAACUCGAGGCUCAACCUCGAGAUGUCGGCGGAAACCGUCUGGCUAGAGUCCGGAAGAGGAGAGUGGAAUUCCUGGUGUAGCGGUGAAAUGCGCAGAUAUCAGGAAGAACACCUAUGGCGAAGGCAGCUCUCUGGGACGGUACUGACGCUGAGACGCGAAGCGUGGGAGCGAACAGGAU